rnacentral:rRNA from 1 species
UACAUGGGGUGCAAACGUUGCUCGGAAUUAUUGGGCGUAAAGCGCACGUAGGCGGCAUUGCAAGUCGGAUGUGAAAUUCCUCGGCUUAACCAAGGAAGUGCAUCCGAAACUGCAGUGCUUGAGUACUUAAGAGGAUCGCGGAAUUCCCGGUGUAGAGGUGAAAUGCGUAGAUAUCAGGAGGAACAUCGGUGGUGUAGACGGCUUUCUGGACCGUAACUGACGCUGAGACACGAAAGCGUGGGUAGCAAACAGG